AGUGAACGCUGACAGAAUGCUUAACACAUGCAAGUCAACCUGCGGCGGACGGGUGAGUAAUGCGUAAAGAACUUGCCUCAAAGAUAGGGAAAAAAUUUGGAAACGAAUGCCAAUACAUACUACUGUGAGAGAGCUUUGCGUCCCAUUAGCUAGUUGGAGAGGUAACGGAUCACCAAGGCGAUGAUGGGUAGCCGGCCUGCGAGGGUGAUCGGCCACAGGGUGAUUGAGCCACAGCCCUUACUCCUUCGUUGGGCAGCGGUGGAGAAUAUGAGACGACUGACAAAAUUCUGAUCCAGCAAUUCUGUGUGCACGAUGAAGUUUUCGGAAUGUAAAGGGCUUUCUGUUGGUAAGCGGUUCCAACUGAAGUAGUGACGGCUAAUUACUUGCCAGCAGCCGCUGUAAUUC
rnacentral:rRNA from 1 species